rnacentral:rRNA from 1 species
UACGUAGGGUCCGAGCGUUGUCCGGAAUUACUGGGCGUAAAGAGCUCGUAGGUGGUUUGUCGCGUUGUUCGUGAAAACUCACAGCUUAACUGUGGGCGUGCGGGCGAUACGGGCAGACUGGAGUACUGCAGGGGAGACUGGAAUUCCUGGUGUAGCGGUGGAAUGCGCAGAUAUCAGGAGGAACACCGGUGGCGAAGGCGGGUCUCUGGGCAGUAACUGACGCUGAGGAGCGAAGGCGUGGGGAGCGAACAGG